AGAGUUGUGGCUCAGUGGUAGAGCACUUGCCUAGCAUGUGUGAGGCACUGGGUUCAAUUCUCAGCACCACAU
rnacentral:tRNA from 1 species